AAAUUUAUUGACACAAAUUAAUUCACAUACUAGCUUCAAGAGGCCAACUGCCACCAGUGGGCAGCUGGGAAGCUGCUCUCUUCUAGGAACCAUCACCGAGGCAGCUUGCCAUUAAUUAUAUACUUUUGAGUGAUUUACAUCCAAUUCCACAAAUGUGUCUUCAUUAAUUGAAGGCAUUCUGAAAUAUUACUGGCAAAUAGAAAGAAUAGAGAUGUUUGCUGAUUGAAAAUGUGCAAAUCACAUAGUAAGGCCGUGGAAGAGCCAGCUGUGGACUCAUCUCUCCAUUUACGAACCUGGAUUCCCCCACAGAAAGGGGCCAUCUCUUAGUCAUUUCCAUCUGCCUAUGGCCAGGACAGUUUCCAGUAAUAAUAGGUGCUCAGUAACUCUUCUCUGAAUGAUGAAUGGGUAGGAGGAAGAAAAUGCCAUGGGAAUAGUGGAGAAAAUCAUAGCUUUCCAAAUAAUUAACCCAGAACCAUCAUCCACAGUCCACAAUUUCUUCUUUUAAUUUGUCUUCAGCAGUCUGAGGUAAUUGGGUUUUGAGACAAAUUUUAAAUUGUUUCAUUUCCAAAAUUCGUUUGGUCACAACAUCUAGGAGCAAUUCAUCUGCUAAUCAAUAAACAACAUUUAAAUGCUGCUGUGAGAAAGGCAAACCGGCACAAAACCAAUACUGUCAGCAACCCAGAACAACUCUAAUUUCCUGACAGAAAUCGAUUCACAGCAAAAUAAUGAUUAUUGUAAAUAUUUAUAGUUCUAAAAGGAAACGCUCAUCAAUGCAGCUUUUUGAGCAGUUCAUUUCCAAAUAAAGAUUCUGAUGGGCCCCACCUAGCCAUGUAUCUUGUGGUGGAGGACGUGGUGGCUGUGAAGCGACUCUGUGGCUGUCUUGGAACUGGCUCUCUUGGAGGCUCUCCUGGAGGCCUGGGGGGCAGUUUGGGUACAUUUUAGAUGUGGUGGGGAGAGGAACACUGGGCAUGGAGAGGCGAGGUCCACACCUGGCUCUUCACUAUUUUGCUGUGUAAUCUCAGAAAGCCAUUUGAUCACUCUGAACAUUCCAUUUUCUCAUCUGGAAAAGGACAAUAAUCAUAUUGCCCAACUUAACCUUCCAGAUUGCGAGGAUGAAAUGAAGAAGGGGGAGGCUAUAUCUGUGAGCAUAUAUUUAACAGACUGGACAACUUUAGGGUCUUUUCAUGGUUCCGUAUUUCCCAAGAACAGGGUUAAGGAGCAGGCGGGCAGUCUCCUGAGAAAUCAGAUGAGUCAUCCUGAAGCUCAAUGCCCAAGGGAGUUUUCCUCCUAAAAAAUAAGUGACCCCAGAACGAAGUGUUCAUUCAGUAAUAUGACUAUGCAACAGGCGCUGAGAAAACAAAAUGAAAAGGACCUAUAAGGGCUGCUCAGGAAGCUCAGUCUAGUGAGGACGAACGCUGUGCAAACAGAGAAGUGGGGGAUGGAGCUAGGCCAGUGCGACCAGAGCUGCGGGAACGUGAAGUGUGAGCUUCAGGGAUGCCCGAGAAUUUCAUGUUGAGCAGCAACCAAAGAGGGUUAUUCCAGGAAAAGAAGAACAGGCAAAGACUAGCAUUUCAGGGGAACCAUGAACACAAAUCAGUUUCCCAAACUUCAGUCUCCUGAAGUCUGCUUUUACACUUUUUUUUGGGGGGGGGGGUGGGCAUGUCUUUGCAGCAUGUACACCAUUUUAAGUUGACCGAUUUUUGAAAAUGUAAACGAACAAUUUAAAAAGAAAACUUUAUAUGACUACUGUAAGUGAAAAACGUUAUUUGUCAUAAACAGAAAAUGACCUUAGAACAUGGACCACAUCAACUCAUUACUCAUGAAAUAAAUAACUGUCAGGCUCAGUUUGUUUCUGAGGCUAACGGGGUGACCAAGACAGAGGUAAGAGAGGGAGAUAAUGACAGAUAGGAAUGGAUGCUACGUAGAAAAUAUGAAGUGUCUUGGAGGGUUACUUUAGAUGGGUUUCGGGGGGUGAGGGUUAGGGGCUGGAAGAUAUCAUUUGAGCCGAGGACUACAGUGUUGGAGCUAAACACCUUAACAUCAAAACCAAAAACAAAGUCAUUAAAUUUCCACCGGACUCAGCUGCCUGCCGAAGGCUGUGCCACAAGCAGAGAAAUGAAUGAGCGGGUGUUGGAGGCGCGCACAUCCAGCGCAGACUUGUUGUGGGACAAAAAGAGACGAGAGAGGAGGAAAUCGUCUUGUCACGUGUGAUCUUAGGCCGCUCAGUGCUCUGUAGCCCCUAAAACCCAGCCGGGUGGCCCAAAGGAAAGCACCCCACGCUUCGGGAAACGCCGCAGCUUUGAGCGGGAUGCAGGUUGGGAGCACCCCGAUGGACACAUCAGUAAACUGAGAGCAAGAAAAGUUAAUUCGCUGCCCCAAGCUAGGUAGUGAGAGGUAGAGCUGGGACACGAAGCGCACCCAGAACUCUCCUUGCACGCCCAGCUCGGCGGCCCCACAUGCCGCGGGUCUAGGGUCGCGCUAGCAGAGGCCUGGCACAACCGCCAGACUCCUGAUCCCGAGAUCCGCGCUCCGGACCUCCCGAGGGCCCCUCCCUGGGCGUGGCUCAAAACGCGGCGCAGCGGAAUCCGUGAAGUGGGAUAAAAAGCACGGCCUCCGACUGCGAGCAUGCGCGUUAGCUCGGCCCUGCCGGGCCGCGCUCGGCGCCGGGGGAGGGUCACCCGAGGCGGACGUCCGCUACGCAGGCGUCUGCGCCCGGUGGGGAGGAGGGCGAAGACUCCAUCCGCCAUGUUGGAUGCCGCAGAUUCGCCAUAACCUCGCCGGCUCUUUUCUUAAAAAAAUAAAAAUAAAAAGCGAAGCGUCAGCAGGGCGCCCCGCCCCCUCGGUCGGCACGGGAGGGGGCCCGGAAGAGCCCGAGGCUUUUUUUUCCUCCGCGGUGGGGCGUUGCCAUGGAGACGCGGGCGGCAGAAAACACGGCCAUCUUUAUGUGUAAAUGUUGUAACCUCUUCUCACCAAAUCAGUCGGAACUCCUCUCCCACGUUUCAGAGAAGCACAUGGAAGAAGGGGUUAAUGUUGAUGAGAUUAUUAUUCCCCUUAGGCCUCUGAGUACACCUGAACCCCCCAACUCAAGCAAAACCGGAGAUGAGUUUUUGGUCAUGAAGAGGAAGAGAGGCAGGCCUAAGGGGUCCACGAAGAAGUCCAGCACAGAAGAGGAGCUGGCAGAAAACAUUGUGAGUCCGACUGAGGACAGCCCGCUGGCUCCGGAGGAACGGAACAGCCUGCCUCCAAGCAGCUUGGAGUGUAGCAAGUGCUGUCGGAAGUUCUCCAACACGCGCCAGCUGCGGAAGCACAUCUGCAUUAUCGUGCUGAAUUUGGGUGAGGAGGAAGGAGAAGCAGGUAACGAGUCUGACCUUGAACUAGAAAAGAAGUGUAAGGAAGAUGAUCGGGAAAAAGCCUCGAAAAGACCACGGUCACAGAAAACAGAGAAAGUCCAGAAGAUCUCAGGAAAGGAGGCCGGACAGCUUUCUGGGGCGAAGAAACCCAUCAUAAGUGUGGUUUUAACUGCACACGAAGCAAUUCCAGGUGCUACCAAGAUUGUGCCAGUGGAGGCUGGGCCCCCUGAAACAGGAGCUACAAAUUCUGAGACCACUUCAGCAGACCUGGUGCCUCGGAGAGGCUACCAGGAAUACGCCAUUCAGCAGACACCUUAUGAGCAACCAAUGAAGUCAAGCAGGCUAGGUCCCACUCAGCUCAAAAUCUUCACUUGUGAAUACUGCAACAAGGUCUUCAAGUUCAAGCACUCGCUGCAGGCCCACCUGAGGAUCCACACCAAUGAAAAACCAUACAAGUGCCCCCAGUGCAGCUAUGCCAGUGCCAUCAAGGCCAACCUCAACGUGCACCUGCGCAAGCACACUGGAGAGAAGUUCGCCUGCGACUAUUGCUCGUUCACCUGCCUGAGCAAGGGCCACCUCAAGGUGCACAUCGAGCGAGUGCACAAGAAGAUCAAGCAGCACUGCCGCUUCUGCAAGAAGAAGUACUCUGACGUCAAGAACCUCAUCAAGCACAUCCGAGACGCGCAUGACCCACAGGACAAGAAGGUCAAAGAGGCCUUGGACGAGCUCUGCCUGAUGACGAGGGAGGGCAAGCGGCAGCUGCUCUAUGACUGCCACAUCUGUGAGCGCAAGUUCAAGAACGAGCUGGACCGCGACCGCCAUAUGCUGGUCCACGGAGACAAGUGGCCUUUUGCCUGUGAGCUCUGUGGCCAUGGGGCCACCAAGUACCAGGCGCUGGAACUGCAUGUCAGGAAGCACCCCUUCGUGUACGUCUGUGCCGUCUGCCGCAAGAAGUUCGUCAGCUCCAUCAGGCUGCGCUCCCACAUCAAAGAGGUGCACGGGGCUGCCCAGGAGGCCUUGGUCUUCACCAGUUCCAUCAACCAGAGCUUCUGCCUCCUGGAACCUGGUGGGGACAUCCAGCAAGAAGCUCUGGGGGACCAGCUACAGCUGGUGGAAGAGGAGUUUGCCCUCCAGGGCGUGAAUGCACUCAAGGAAGAGGCCUGUCCUGGGGACACUCAGCUGGACGAGGGCCGGAAGGAGCCGGAGGCCCCUGGGGAAAUGCCUGCCCCAGCUGUGCACCUGGCCUCCCCGCAGGCCGAAAGCACAGCCCUGCCACCCUGUGAGCUGGAAACCACUGUGGUCUCCUCCUCAGACCUGCAUUCUCAAGAGGUGGUUUCAGAUGAUUUUUUGUUGAAAAAUGAUAGCUCCUCCGCAGAGGCUCAUGCUGCUCCUGAGAAGCCCCCAGACAUGCAGCACAGAAGCUCAGUCCAGACGCAAGGUGAAGUGAUCACACUACUGCUGUCCAAGGCCCAGAGUGCUGGGUCAGAUCAGGAAAGCCAUGGCGCCCAGAGCCCCCUAGGGGAAGGGCAGAACAUGGCUGUGCUUUCAGCUGGUGACCCAGAUCCCAGCAGGUGUCUCAGGUCAAACCCAGCUGAAGCCUCAGACCUCCUCCCUCCAGUAGCUGGUGGUGGGGACACCAUCACACAUCAGCCUGACUCUUGCAAAGCUGCCCCUGAGCACCGGUCAGGCAUCACCGCUUUCAUGAAGGUCCUGAACAGUUUACAGAAGAAGCAAAUGAACACCAGCUUGUGUGAGCGGAUCCGGAAGGUUUAUGGAGACCUGGAGUGUGAAUACUGUGGCAAACUUUUUUGGUACCAAGUGCAUUUUGAUAUGCAUGUCCGCACCCACACCCGGGAACAUCUAUAUUAUUGCUCUCAGUGUCAUUAUUCUUCCAUCACCAAAAACUGCCUUAAACGCCACGUAAUUCAGAAACACAGUAACAUCUUGCUGAAGUGUCCCACCGACGGCUGUGACUACUCAACUCCAGAUAAAUAUAAGCUACAGGCACAUCUUAAAGUUCACACAGCACUGGACAAAAGGAGUUAUUCUUGUCCUGUUUGUGAAAAGUCUUUUUCAGAGGAUCGAUUGAUAAAGUCACAUAUCAAGACCAACCAUCCUGAGGUCUCCAUGAGCACCAUUUCUGAGGUUCUCGGGAGGAGGGUUCAGCUGAAAGGGCUAAUUGGAAAGAGAGCCAUGAAAUGCCCAUAUUGUGACUUUUAUUUCAUGAAGAAUGGCUCAGACCUUCAGCGUCAUAUUUGGGCUCAUGAAGGUGUGAAGCCCUUCAAGUGUUCUUUGUGUGAGUAUGCAACUCGUAGCAAGAGUAACCUCAAGGCUCAUAUGAAUCGUCACAGCACUGAGAAAACCCACCUAUGUGACAUGUGUGGCAAGAAAUUCAAAUCAAAAGGGACACUGAAAAGUCACAAACUCCUUCACACUGCAGAUGGGAAGCAGUUUAAGUGCACGGUGUGUGACUACACAGCGGCCCAGAAGCCACAGCUGCUGCGGCACAUGGAACAGCAUGUCUCCUUCAAGAAGCGUAGCAUUGCUCUGUAAUUUGGAAACCAAGUCAAAGAUGUGUAAGAGGAUGCAGACAGAAGAAAAGGCACGAUCUUUGCAUAAAAGCACUGGAGUGAUUUAGAGGAAGGCUUGCAGGCUUUAGGGACACGUAUUUUUGCUUUCAGAUCUUGGAUUGCUGCAGCCUUUCCGCUGUGCCCAUUGCCAUUACUCCUGCAACAUAUCUGGCUCUCUGAAGCGGCACUACAACAGGAAGCACCCUAAUGAGGAGUAUGCCAACGUGGGCACCGGGGAGCUGGCGGCGGAGGUGCUCAUCCAGCAAGGUGGUUUGAAGUGUCCUGUUUGCAGCUUUGUAUAUGGCACCAAAUGGGAGUUCAAUAGGCACUUGAAGAACAAACAUGGCUUGAAGGUGGUGGAAAUUGAUGGAGACCCCAAGUGGGAGACAGCAACAGAAGCUCCUGAGGAGCCCUCCACCCAGUAUCUCCACAUCACAGAGGCCGAAGAAGACGUUCAAGGGACACAGGCAGCGGUGGCCGCGCUCCAGGACCUGAGAUACACCUCUGAGAGUGGCGAUCGACUGGACCCCACGGCCGUGAACAUCCUGCAGCAGAUCAUUGAGCUGGGCUCCGAGACCCAUGAUGCCACUGCCCUUGCCUCGGUGGUUGCCAUGGCACCAGGGACGGUGACUGUGGUUAAGCAGGUCACCGAGGAGGAGCCCAGCUCCAACCACACGGUCAUGAUCCAGGAGACGGUCCAGCAAGCGUCUGUGGAGCUUGCCGAGCAGCACCACCUGGUGGUGUCCUCUGACGACGUGGAGGGCAUUGAGACGGUGACUGUCUACACGCAGGGCGGGGAGGCCUCGGAGUUCAUCGUCUACGUGCAGGAGGCCAUGCAGCCUGUGGAGGAGCAGGCUGUGGAGCAGCCGGUCCAGGAACUCUAGAGGACGUGUGACAUCGGAUGGCCACAGGGCGGGGCUGCCAGGCUCUGCAGGCACCCAGGGUGGGGAGGCCACCCUUCCUGCCCUACCCUCAGAAUGGUGCUCUCCUUUGCCCUCCCUGCCCAGCAGCCUGAUAGGACUCUCCUAGUCCAACUUGGGGUGGGCAAGGCAGUCAGCAUCACCAGCAACACCACAGGUCUCUCACCCCAGCAUAGACACACACCCCCUGACCCUUACCAUCUGCUUCCUGAAAGACCUCAGCGUCAGCUCCCCUACACACACCCCACACCUUCACGCCUUGCUUCAAGUUUCAAACAGAGACUCCCAGUCCCCCUCAGCAUCUUCCCUGAAUCACAGCCCCAGCUCCUUGACCCCCAUCUAGGUGCCAAAUGUUCAUCUGCAACCGCUAUGCAGUCUGGUGAGAGGGAGACAGCCAUCACAUAGAAAGUGACCGUACGGGUUUUUAAUCACUGCUGGGUGGGGUGGGGUAGGGGGAUUGUCCUGGCUUUGUCGACAAAGUCCCACUUCCCCGAGUAUUAAGGGCCCUUGGUAUCAAGUGAGGUAAAUUCACCCAUCACAGGGUCUCGCCCUACCAUCCUGGAAUUAUUUCACUUUUAAGAUAAAUGCACUAUUUCACUGUUCACCUCCCAUUCUAAGGAGGUGAGGUGGAUGGAAUAAAAACAGUUCCUGUCUGAA